AUUGAACGCUGGCGGCAGGCCUAACACAUGCAAGUCGAGCGAGCGGCGGACGGGUGAGUAAUGUCUGGGAAACUGCCUCAUUGCGGGGGAUAACUACUGGAGACGGUAGCUAAUACCGCAUCCCAUCAGAUGUGCCCAGAUGGGGUUAGCUAGUAGGUGGGGUAACGGCUCACCUAGGCGACGAUCCCUAGCUGGUCUGAGAGGAUGACCAGGCAGACUGGAACUGAGGCAAGUGCCAGACUCCUCAGGGAGGCAGCAGUGGGGAAUGUGGGACAAUGUGCGCAAGCCUGGUGCAGCCAUGGCGGGUGUGUGAAGAGGGCCUUCGGGUUGUAAAGCACUUUCAGCGGGGAGGCGUUACCCGCAGAAGAAGCACCGGCUAACUCCGUGCCAGCAGCCGCGGUAAUUC
rnacentral:rRNA from 1 species